GUCUGCGUAGUAUAUAAAUUAUUCUGGUCUUGUAAACCAGAGAAGGGGAAGAAUCCUCCCCCGAAGACU
rnacentral:tRNA from 1 species